ACCACCUCCAGGGCCACAAGAGGGUGCUUUCCUCCUUUCAGGUUAUGCCUUUUUGAAAUGCAGCUCUUCAGACUUCUUAGAGGCACAUGCGUGGCUGGGAAGUGUCUAUGGGUUGAUUCCUUUGUGAAUUAUAUGGAGCUGACGCGGCUGAAACCCACAGUGACCCAGACGAGGACAGAAGCUGGUCCUGAAAGAGUGGCUUCCGCCCCUAUGUACAAAACAGAAACAGGACGUGGUGGUACAAGCAAAUGGAAAAA